CCUACGGGAGGCUGCAGUGAGGAAUAUUGGUCAAUGGACGAGAGUCUGAACCAGCCAAGUAGCGUGAAGGAUGACUGCCCUAUGGGUUGUAAACUUCUUUUAUAUGGGAAUAAAAUGUUCCACGUGUGGGAUUUUGUAUGUACCAUAUGAAUAAGGAUCGGCUAACUCCGUGCCAGCAGCCGCGGUAAUACGGAGGAUCCGAGCGUUAUACGGAUUUAUUGGGUGUAAAGGGAGCGUAGGUGGAUUGUUAAGUCAGUUGUGAAAGUUUGCGGCUCAACCGUACAAUUGCAGUUGAAACUGGCAGUCUUGAGUACAGUAGAGGUGGGCGGAAUUCGUGGUGUAGCGGUGAAAUGCUUAGAUAUCACGAAGAACUCCGAUUGCGAAGGCAGUUCACUGGACUGCAACUGACACUGAGGCUCGAAAGUGUGGGUAUCAAACAGGAUUAGAUACCCUUGUAGUC
rnacentral:rRNA from 1 species